rnacentral:rRNA from 1 species
AACCCAACAGCUAGCCCCCUCCCCCAAAAAAUUUAAUCAACAUAACCUUAACCCUAAGGCCCGCAUACCAAACAACCAAACCAUUUUUCCUCCUUAGUAUGGGCGACAGAAAAGGA